ensembl:lncRNA
GUGUGUGUGUGUGUGUGUGUGUGUGUGUGUGUGUGUGUGUGUGUGUGUGUGUGUGUGUGCAGUGUGUGUGUGUGUGUGUGUGUGUGUGUGUGUGUGUGUGUGUGUGUGUGUGUGUGUGUGUGUGUGUGUGUGUGUGUGUGUGCUGUGUGUGCAGUGUGUGUGUGUGUGUGUGUGUGUGUGUGCAGUGUGUGUGUGUGACCUCAUCAUUGAGAGAAGUUCCUGUUUUGUUAAGAAGGAACAGAAACAGCAUUAAACCAUCAGAGCCUCAAGAUGAAAGCUUGUCACACUCUGGUCUGCUUCAUCAUCCUUACAGCACAGCAGGAUGGUCGUGUCAAUGCAGAAACAGCCAGUCACAGAAAAAUGGAAGGAGAAGACAUCACACUUGAAUGCAGGUUCUAUAUCCGUGGAAGCAGGAGGCUCUUCUGUAAAGAAGAAUGUGAAAAGGGAAACAUUCUGAUUAGUACAACUGCUGACACAUUUCAGAGUGGCAGAUACAGCAUUCAAUAUGUCAAAAAAGGUGUUUCACAUACUAUGUAUGUGAAGAUCACACAGCUGAAACAGUCUGACUCAGGACGGUACAAGUGUACUUUGGACAGCACUUUGAAACCAGAUUAUUUUGAGAUAAUUGUCAUAGAAGCUGUAAAAACUUUAACAGCAGGCUCUACUCCAAAAGCUUUUUCAUCAUCAACCUUUCUCCUAUCAACCUCAACAACAGCAACAACAACAGCAGCAACAACAACACAAAGUUUCAACUUCAGUUUAGAAAGCUCUACAUCUUCAUCCUCCUCCACUGAAAUCCUGAACCAUCCUGAGACACCUGCAGGUCCAGGACCUCCUGUAGAAACAGAAUACGCCAAUAUCACACAGAAUAACCGAGUGUGUGAAGAGAUAAGAGACGGCAGUUCACCUCCUGUGGAAGUGUCUUCAGCUGAUGCCUAUCCCAAAACCUGCCAGCGAGCUGGAGUUGAAAACCUUGAACUUUACAGCCUCAUCACCUAUUCUCAGAGUAAAGCUGAAAAUGACACAGAUGAAGUUGAUUACACUGAAGUGGAUUUUUCCCACAUGUCUGUAACCAACAGCGCCCUCUGUGGUAAAUCAGGUGAUGUUGUCUACUCCACACCUCAGAUACAUGCUAGCCCCAGGAACCAUGUUAAAGAUGCUUCACCUCCUCUGUACUCUAUAAAACCAAAACUGAAAAACUAAAAAAAAGGGAACACCUGAAGAGUCUUGCACUGUCACUGCAAAGAGAAUAGAGGUUGCUGAGGGGCAUAACAAAGUGUUUGAGAAGUGUUUUUUCACAAAUGAUUCAAAGUUUAACUUGGAAGCCACAGCGAAUGCAGUGUGAAACAAAAGACUUCACGUGAUGUGAUGAUGGAAGAGAAUAUUUAUGUUUUAUUUACACUGUGUAUGCAGUAAAUUUUAUCCGACUGGAUGUUUAGUUUUUUGGAACGAAGCUUGUUCACGGUAAAAGCUGUUUAUGUUGUUUUGUACUGACAGUAGCUGAAAGUACUUUAUGAAUAGUUAUUAUAGAGUAAACAAGGAUGCAUUUCUCUUAGCUACUGCAUUUGAAAAACGACCUAUACUGUCUUCUUUCAGUUUGGUUCUGUAUUCUUAUUUCACUGUUCUUAUUUCAUAGGAAACAUAUUGUACAGUGGGCUGAAUUCAAAAGCCAGUUUAUCUGAUGGAUUAUGUUCACUGUGUAAAAAAUAAUGUAAAUCUAAAAUAUGCAGUCAUUGUCAUCACAAUCUUUUUGUUAUAAAACCUGUGGUGAGUUAUAAAUAUUUUUGAUAAUACAGAGUAUUGAUGUUGACCUUUGUUUCCCUCUGGUGGCUACUUUUAACCUUGCACAGUACACGGUACUUUAAUGAAUGUUACACUAUGUUCCUGACCUUUUGCCUCCUACUAAAGGCCUCUAGUGCAAAAGAGGAUUUCCUGUACUACAAAGUUUCACUUCUUACCAGCGUAUAUCACCAUGGUAACCGGUAUUAAACCUAACCUGCCCUGGAGCAGGUUAUCUUCUAUUGGAGCUGAUCAGAUAUGAAAUAAUUCCCUAACGACCAGUCAGUUCAACAGAUAUUGGUUUCACUGGUGCUGAAAGACCCCUCAGACCUCUGUGUGUGGAUAUUAAAGAGUGUUAAGUUUACCAGUACACAUUUUUUAAAUAUCCUCUUUCCCUAAUGACUAUACCUAUUUUAAUCCCCCCACUGGUUACAAACAAUUUUAUGUAUUUAUUUACUUUUUGUUUUUGUGGACUUCAGGAAUGUAUUGAGAGGUGUCCGUCUUUAAAACAGGAAGCUGAUGACUCAGCUAAAGGUUGAGUUAUCUGUCAUCUUAUGUUCUUCUGCAUUUCAUUUUGAAUUCUGUUUUAUUUUAAUCCUUGCUCUCAGACAGUUGAAGACCACCAACACUGCAGCUGAAAAAAAUAAAACUAUUUGAAAUAUGAAUAUAUCUAAAUACUCAAUUUUAUUCCAAUUUUCUAGUCUUUACUUAAUCUUUAUUUUUGC